CCUACGGGGGGCAGCAGUGAGGAAUAUUGGUCAAUGGCCGUAAGGCUGAACCAGCCAAGUCGCGUGAAGGAAGAAGGAUCUAUGGUUUGUAAACUUCUUUUAUAGGGGAAUAAAGGUAUCCACGUGUGGAUAUUUGCAUGUACCCUAUGAAUAAGCAUCGGCUAACUCCGUGCCAGCAGCCGCGGUAAUACGGAGGAUGCGAGCGUUAUCCGGAUUUAUUGGGUUUAAAGGGUGCGUAGGCGGACAGUCAAGUCAGCGGUAAAAAUGCGGUGCUCAACGCCGUACAGCCGUUGAAACUGGCAGUCUUGAGUGGGCGAGAAGUAUGCGGAAUGCGUGGUGUAGCGGUGAAAUGCAUAGAUAUCACGCAGAACUCCGAUUGCGAAGGCAGCAUACCGGCGCCCGACUGACGCUGAGGCACGAAAGCGUGGGUAUCGAACAGGAUUAGAUACCCUGGUAGUC
rnacentral:rRNA from 1 species